AUUGAACGCUGGCGGCAGGCCUUACACAUGCAAGUCGAACGAGUGGCGGACGUGCGAGUAAUGACUGGGCAACUGCCCGAUGGAGGGGGAUAACUACUGGAAACGGUAGCUAAUACCGCAUACCAUCGGAUGUGCCCAGAUGGGAUGAGCUAGUAGGGUGGGUAAAGGCUCACCAAGGGGACGAUCCCUAGCUGGUCUGCGAGGAUGACCAGACAGACUGGAACUGAGACACGGUCCAGACUCCUACGGGAGGCAGCAGUGGGGAAUAUUGCACAAUGGGCGCAAGCCUGAUGCAGCCAUGCCGCGUGUAUGAAGAAGGCCUUCGGGUUGUAAAGUACUUUCAGCGAGGAGGCGUUACUCGCAGAAGAAGCACCGGCUAACUCCGUGCCAGCAGCCGCGGUAAUUC
rnacentral:rRNA from 1 species